rnacentral:rRNA from 1 species
UGGGGAAUAUUGGACAAUGGGCGAAAGCCUGAUCCAGCCAUGCCGCGUGUGUGAAGAAGGCCUUUUGGUUGUAAAGCACUUUAAGCGAGGAGGAGGCUCUUCUAGUUAAUACCUAGGAUGAGUGGACGUUACUCGCAGAAUAAGCACCGGCUAACUCUGUGCCAGCAGCCGCGGUAAUACAGAGGGUGCGAGCGUUAAUCGGAUUUACUGGGCGUAAAGCGUGCGUAGGCGGCUGAUUAAGUCGGAUGUGAAAUCCCUGAGCUUAACUUAGGAAUUGCAUUCGAUACUGGUCAGCUAGAGUAUGGGAGAGGAUGGUAGAAUUCCAGGUGUAGCGGUGAAAUGCGUAGAGAUCUGGAGGAAUACCGAUGGCGAAGGCAGCCAUCUGGCCUAAUACUGACGCUGAGGUACGAAAGCAUGGGGAGCAAACAGG